UGGACACAUAAGGACAAUCCGAGUGGUA
rnacentral:piRNA from 1 species